GAUGAAGAACGCAGCGAAAUGCGAUACGUAAUGUGAAUUGCAGAAUUCAGUGAAUCAUCGAAUCUUUGAACGCAUAUUGCGCUCUCUGGUAUUCCGGAGAGCAUGCUUGUUUGAGUAUCAGUAAACACCUCAACUUCCAUAUCUUUUUUGAAAUGGGAGUUGGACUUGAGUGAUCGCAACGCUUUUCCUCACCGAAAAGUGGCGGGUUACUUGAAAUGCAGGUGCAGCUGGACUUUUCUCUGAGCUAUAAGCAUAUCUAUUUAGUCUGCCUAAAAAACAGAUUAUUACCUUUGCUGCAGCUAACAUAAAGGAGAUUAGUUCUUGUGCUGACUGAUGCAGGAUUCACAAAGACGGCUUCGGCCGACUUUGUAAACUCGAUCUCAAAUCAAGUAAGACUACCCGCUGAACUUAAGCAUAUCAAUAAGCGGAGGA
rnacentral:misc_RNA from 1 species